rnacentral:lncRNA from 1 species
CGCUGUUACUUCUAUAUUGAUCCUCAUUGCUAAUGUUGGGACAGAAUUCUACUUUACAACAUUACACACGGUAUCAGCCAAGCGAUCUACAAGACUGUGUUAAGGAUCUCCAUCGAAUGUGUUGCGGAAGUUAUGACUCUAACUUGCCUGCAAUCAGGGAUAAGUACAGUCAGCACAAGGUGAGGAAGUCCUUUUCAUUCUCUAUUCUGUUUCCUUUCUUUCAUUUGUGAGAAUCUAACUUCAACAAUUUUGUGACACCAGUAUAAAUUUGUAGCAAAGAAGUUCUGCCCUGCACUAAUACCUGAGGAAUACUUGCAAAAGCAAAGCUUGUAAGAAGAAGAGGAUAUACUGUUUACUUACUCAGUCUGAAGCAAUGGCAGUAUCUCUUCCAAUGAUCCGUUGGACGAUGAAGCUCUCUGGACGGUGGUUCCCUCUCCUCGCUCAGAGUGUAAGAAUGUGUAGAAGUAGAAGUAGCAGUUAGCAGCUCUUGCUUUUGUAUCUUUGUAGAUUAGUUUUUUUUUUAAGUUUUGAGACGAGUAACCGAGUUUUAUGAAAUAUCAGAGUUUCUCAACCCCCAUGAAAUCUUUAGUGGUUAACCAACCAUAAGUCAGGUGAUGAAACAGUGGUGUAAUCACUGCAAGCUUUCCACAUAUGCUGAAUCAUAGCACCUGUGAAACACCAUCAGGAACACUCAAUGAAUAAUAGACGUUGAAGGGAUUAACUCUGAGAAGUUAGAUUAGAUUUUAAUCCAUUCUCCACCCUUAGAUUAGAUUUUAAUCCAAUCUUUCCCUUGCUCCAGCUGAUGUGGAUGACAUCACUUAAUAUCUCUUGUCGCUGCAGAAUCCUAUGAAGUGAUGGAAUAAGGUGCUUUGGACAGCUGGGGAGAUAAGAAAACUAAAGAAAGCCACCUGAGCUUUUGAAUGAGACAGAAAAACCUUGUACUCCAAAGUCUAAACGACUACAGAAGACCCACAAGGGAGAUUGAUUGAUUGAAAGAUAUAUGUGUCGGCAAAUCUCAG